rnacentral:tRNA from 1 species
GGGGGUGGGUGCUCAGUGGUAGAGCAUGUGCUUAGCACGCCCAAGGUCCUGGGUUCAAUCUCCAGCACCUCCA